rnacentral:lncRNA from 1 species
AAAAGUUUCAGAUGUCCGAGUAGUGCCUUCAUGGUGUCUGGGGAGGAGUCCGCCAGCCACUCCUCCAGGGUCGCAGGUCUUAGAUUGGUGGGUAUGUGUUUAAGGCUCUCGCCCAUGGCUGCACGGCCACCCGGACAAUCCCACAGAACGGAAACGAGAGGUGCG